GCCAGGUGUGGUGGCUCACACCUGUAAUCCCAGCACUUUGGGAGGCCGAGGUGGGUGGAUCAUUUGAGGUCAGGAGUUCAAGACCAGCCUGGCCAACAUGUUGAAAUCCCGUCUCUACUGAAAAUACAAAAAUUAGCCUGGAAUAGUGGUGGGCACCUGUAAUCCCAGCUGCUGAGGCAGAGGCAGGAGAAUCACUUGAACCCAGAAGAUGGAGGUUGCAGUGAGCCGAGAUCGCGCCACUGCACUCUAGCCUGGGCGACAGAGUGAGACUCCAUCUCA
rnacentral:sRNA from 1 species